rnacentral:misc_RNA from 1 species
ACAAACUUGGUCAUUUAGAGGAAGUAAAAGUCGUAACAAGGUUUCCGUAGGUGAACCUGCGGAAGGAUCAUUACCGAGUUAGGGUCUCCUCCGUGAGGCCCGACCUCCCAACCCUGUGUCUAAUAAACCUGUAUGUGUUGCUUCGGCGGAACGGCAGUCGGCCCUCCAGGGUGCAGACAGUCGCCGGGGGGUUCACGACCGUGAGGUCGCCCCUGGAGAGUUUUCGCCGAUGGCCCCAACCAAACAAACUCCCAAACCAAAAUUGUAAUACCUAAAACCUUCUGAAUCAAACCCUUUUGAUAUACCAAUCAAAAACAAAACUUUCAACAACGGAUCUCUUGGUUCUGGCAUCGAUGAAGAACGCAGC